rnacentral:rRNA from 1 species
AUUGGAGGGCAAGUCUGGUGCCAGCAGCCGCGGUAAUUCCAGCUCCAAUAGCGUAUAUUAAAGUUGUUGCAGUUAAAAAGCUCGUAGUUGGAUUUCUGUUAAUAAUUUAUAUAAAAUAUUUUGAUGAAUAUUUAUAUAAUAUUAACAUAAUUCAUAUUACUAUAUAUUUUAGUAUAUGAAAUUUUACUUUGAGAAAAUUAGAGUGCUUAAAGCAGGCAUAUGCCUUGAAUACUCCAGCAUGGAAUAAUAUUAAAGAUUUUUAUCUUUCUUAUUGGUUCUAAGAUAAGAAUAAUGAUUAAUAGGGACAGUUGGGGGCAUUUGUAUUUAACAGUCAGAGGUGAAAUUCUUAGAUUUGUUAAAGACAAACUAAUGCGAAAGCAUUUGCCAAGGAUGUUUUCAUUAAUCAAGAACGAAAGUUAGGGGAUCGAAGACGAUCAGAUACCGUCGUAGUCUUAACCAUAAACUAUGCCAACUAGAGAUUGGAGGUUGUUCCUUACUCCUUCAGCACCUUA